CCCCUGCUCCUCGACCUCUCGCUCCCUGCUCCUCCUACCGCACCGUUCGCCGCCCCACAACCGCUCGCCGCUUCGCCGCCUUCCGCAGCCGCGCCCCUUCGCCGUCGCCCACCUACUGCCCUUCUCUCCCUGCACUUUUCCACCCUCACGCAGCCGCCGCCAGCGCCUUGUGCCCCAACGCCGCUAUCGCCAUCACCUCCUCCCCAUGGUCCGCGAGCUAGACGCGCUGCCGGGAAGAAUCCACCAUCUACGGCCUUGCGGCGCUCGCCGGGGAAACCGCCGCCGCCGCCUCUAUCCUUUCCGGAUGCCUCUGUCUCCUCUCUACAGCGGCCUCCUCAUCUCUUCACGGCUGCUCCAGAGGUCGCCCCCUCGAGCAUCGCGUCCUCUUCUCCACCACCACCUCGCCGCCGCCUCCUCCCUUCGGUUCUCUCCUCGAAGCUCCAUCAAGUGGUCACUGCCGCUUGCUGCCUCUUCUCUCCUGCAGGACGACGCCUCCCCAUCCACCAUCUGCCGCCGCUGAACUGGGUGGCAGUUGCGGCCAUGGGGGAGUAG
rnacentral:rRNA from 1 species